rnacentral:lncRNA from 1 species
AGAAUGCUGCUGUCUCGUGUACAUACUGUUAAGGAUCCUGGAAAAGGGAGUGGUUCCUCCUAGCUGCAAACAAGGGCGCUACUUUUCUUUUCUCUUUUUAAUAGAAUUACGUUUUAUAGGUGUGUCUAGGCAACACAAGGGAAUGUGAAAGACUUUCAGAGGGAAUGUUUGUGAAUACAUUUGGUGUGUACUAAAAAGCUGGAAAACCCCUAAGUAAAUGCAAUAUCGAUAGCGAGUUUCUUGAAGAGUCAUCUGCUAAACUCCACUAGAGUCAUCUCUACAGAUGCAACUGACUCACUUAAAAUAACUGUGUGGAUAUUGAACUUUUAUGAACUACUAUUUACUAAAUUAUAUGGGUGUGUUUUUCCUCAUCUCAGAAUAGCAUAUCAAUAGAUGCUAUACAAACAUAAGAGGGUGUGGUUAAGAGAAAAAAAAAUUGCCAUUAAGGAAUCAGCAAAUAGGAUGUCUGAAGUGAGGAUAGAGCACCUAUCUCUGAGAUCAAAGUCAUCUGACCAAAAAUGAUGCCUCUGAGACCAUAACAAAAGAAUGAAUAAUGAAAUAUAAGAAUAGGGAUUCU